rnacentral:tRNA from 1 species
GCCAAAUGGCAAGGCGUCUGGCUACGAACCAGAAGAUUGUGGGUUCGAUCCCCAC